UAGGGAUCUGCCUUUAAGUGGGGGAUAACCCGGGGAAACCCGGAUUAAUACCGCAUGAUCUCGCAAGAGCAAAGUGGGGGAUCGCAAGACCUCACGCUUUUAGAGGAACCUACGUCGGAUUAGCUUGUUGGUGAGGUAAUGGCUCACCAAGGCGACGAUCCGUAACUGGUCUGAGAGGAUGAUCAGUCACACCGGAACUGAGACACGGUCCGGACUCCUACGGGAGGCAGCAGUGGGGAAUAUUGGACAAUGGGCGAAAGCCUGAUCCAGCAAUACCGCGUGUGUGAAGAAGGCCUUCGGGUUGUAAAGCACUUUAAGUUGGGAAGAAAAAACUUCAAUUAAUACUUGAAGUCUUGACGGUACCGACAGAAUAAGCACCGGCUAACUCUGUGCCAGCAGCCGCGGUAAUACAGAGGGUGCUAGCGUUAAUCGGAUUUACUGGGCGUAAAGCGUGCGUAGGCGGUUUGAUAAGUCGGUUGUGAAAGCCCCGGGCUCAACCUGGGAAUUGCGGCCGAUACUGUCAGACUAGAAAACGGUAGAGGGAGGCGGAACUCCAGGUGUAGCGGUGAAAUGCGUAGAUAUCUGGAAGAACACCGAUGGCGAAGGCAACCUCCUGGGCCUGUUUUGACGCUGAGGCACGAAAGCGUGGGUAGCAAACAGGAUUAGAUACCCUGGUAGUCCACGCCGUAAACGAUGAGAACUUGACGUUGGUUUGCUUAGCAAAUCGGUGUCGUAGCUAACGCGAUAAGUUCUCCGCCUGGGGAGUACGGCCGCAAGGUUGAAACUCAAAGGAAUUGACGGGGGCCCGCACAAGCGGUGGAGUAUGUGGUUUAAUUCGAUGCAACGCGAA
rnacentral:rRNA from 1 species